rnacentral:rRNA from 1 species
UGAUCCUGGCUCAGAACGAACGCUGGCGGCAUGCCUAAUACAUGCAAGUCGAACGAAGGCUUCGGCCUUAGUGGCGCACGGGUGCGUAACGCGUGGGAAUCUGCCCUUGGGUUCGGAAUAACGUCUGGAAACGGACGCUAAUACCGGAUGAUGACGUAAGUCCAAAGAUUUAUCGCCCAGGGAUGAGCCCGCGUAGGAUUAGCUAGUUGGUGAGGUAAAGGCUCACCAAGGCGACGAUCCUUAGCUGGUCUGAGAGGAUGAUCAGCCACACUGGGACUGAGACACGGCCCAGACUCCUACGGGAGGCAGCAGUAGGGAAUAUUGGACAAUGGGCGAAAGCCUGAUCCAGCAAUGCCGCGUGAGUGAUGAAGGCCUUAGGGUUGUAAAGCUCUUUUAACCCGGGAUGAU